AACAAGAUGGUAAGUAAAGGGACGAAACGGAGCCGUUUGAAAUUCCAUCACAAUAAAAGAAAUUUAAAUAUAGCUGAUGGAAUACUUGUCAUGGAUUCAGAGAGACUUUUAUAUUUUUGUUUGGUGUGGAUUUAUCAAUUUUGCUGGUAAUAGGAAAUGUUUAUGCUGCCAGGAGGCAAGGCCCAAGAGAUAGUUAAAUCUUGCGGAAUGGGAAUGCCCUCCGUAUGUUUCUCUAUUUCCAGCUCCGCAACGGUUCGCUCUCACUGUCGUACCAUUGUUUUCCACCUCAGCUUCUCUGUCCAUAGCCGAAACGGACUACUCCCGAAGAGGAAGGUGACGAAUGAGCUACCUGAUUAGAAAGAAGUGAGGGUUGGGAAAAACAAUUCGGUGAGGCUACUGACGAGUCUAACGGCGAAAAAAAUUGUUCUGGCGAAUGUGAUUGAGAGGAUUAUUAGAGAUGGACUUGACUAUUAUUUUGUUUUGUUUUUAUCAAAUAAAUGACAUGUAAAUGUGUUAAGGAUAUUAUUAUUAUUAUUGUGGGAUAUGUUUUAGGAAUAUUUAAAUAUAGACAAGAAUAAGGUAAUCCCAUUUUAUUUAUAAA